UUGAUUGUACAAUCGGCAUUCAUUGAAUUCCCCACUCCUGAAAGCGUUCACAAAUUUCCUGACCCAUACAUUGGGUGUGACUAGGUACAAGCAGGAGGUGGAAGAUGUGGCGAGGUUCCUGUAUUUUAUGAACCCACAAGAUGCCAAUUUGGCAUUUGUAAAAGACCUCCAAAGGACCAAUGAGUUUUUCUCAAAACUGCAAGAGAUUGUCACGCACCAGACCUUGUUCAACUAUUUGAAGCAUGUGAGGUGAUGUGUAAACUUCCAGAUAGACAACACAAAUUUGUUCUCAUCUGAUCCAUCUAUAUACAAUGCCUGCAACAACUUUAUCAAAGCCACCGACGCCCUUAAAAAAAGUCUCAGUAAGGGAAUAUCGUGGGAAGUUGUCAAGAAAAGGUACGCUUCCUUGACCCAUAUAAUGAGGCUAUUGUCCACAGCAAAAGCCACAUUUUUGAAAGCCCUGGAUGCCGCUAAAAAAGACGAUAUAGAUAACAUAAAAUUUGAGAUCGUACAUUACUUGGAGGCAUUGCUGGUUCUGAAGCACUUGCAGAGACCAGGGGUUGUACAGAAUAUGUCAGUCACCGAAUGAAAAACGGUUUGAUAUGUUUGAUUGUCAUUGGAGUAGCAGAGCACAAGACAGCAACGCAACAAGUGGCCGAUUUCGCAUUGACAGAGGAGGAAAAAUGUGGUUCGAUGUGUAUUAUCAACAUGUGAGACCAAGACUGGUGCAUGACAACUCCCCCACUGACAUUUUUUUUCAAGUGGGAAGAUGAUUCCUAAUGUUUCAAAUGACCUGUGGCGUUACCACCGAAGGUCCUACCGGGAGAAAACACUCGAUGACAUAUGCCACGCGUAUCUGCUGGUCUCUGGGGCAGGUGCAGACAGCAGUCAGUCAAGCAGGCACCU